UACGUAGGGUGCAAGCGUUGUCCGGAAUUAUUGGGCGUAAAGAGCUCGUAGGCGGUCUGUCGCGUCGAAUGUGAAAACCCGGGGCUCAACCCCGGGCCUGCAUUCGAUACGGGCAGACUAGAGUUCGGUAGGGGAGUCUGGAAUUCCUGGUGUAGCGGUGAAAUGCGCAGAUAUCAGGAGGAACACCGGUGGCGAAGGCAGGUCUCUGGGCCACUACUGACGCUGAGAAGCGAAAGCAUGGGGAGCGAACAGG
rnacentral:rRNA from 1 species